UAACGAUGAAGAGUUUGAUCCUGGCUCAGGAUGAACGCUAGCGGCAGGCCUAACACAUGCAAGUCGAACGGUAACAGCACUUCGGUGGCUGACGAGUGGCGCACGGGUGAGUA
rnacentral:rRNA from 1 species